rnacentral:lncRNA from 1 species
ACGGGCUCGAUGGGGAGUUUCGGGUCGUGACAGGUUAUCUGUCACAUCCCAUUUCUCGGGAUAUGACCAACGCAAGCACUUACAUCGGUAUAGCCCACUAGACCCAAACAAGGCUUUCAAUCAUCAACCACAUUUUGUUCAUCAUAUAGUUCAUUUGCAUGAACAUAUAUUUCAUAUCAUAAUCAAAUGUUCGAACCAUCACACUAUAUGGAAUUUACAUCAUACAUCCAGAAUUGCUCUAAUUCAAAUAUUCAUCAUUUGUAAAAAUAUAAUCUCAUAAGCAUUUCAUAUUGACAGGCAUAUACACCCUUAAAUGGCGUUUGGUACCUUAAAAUGUAAUCACAUUGCAGGGAUUGUGAUUACAAGGAAUGUGAAUACAAGGAUUGUGAUUUCUAGAGAGAUAACAUUUUAAUGUUUGGUUUACAAGCAUUUUAGUGGGAAUGUAAUGUUAAUUUUCAAAAUUACAACUAUGUAUUAAAAUACAAGUUUAAUAUAGUUGUAUGUUUUUC